UACGAUAUGAUUGAACUGCUUUUGGGC
rnacentral:piRNA from 1 species